rnacentral:miRNA from 1 species
UAGAGAGAUGGUCAGCAAUGU